rnacentral:rRNA from 1 species
UUUAUCGGAGAGUUUGAUCCUGGCUCAGGACGAACGCUGGCGGCGUGCCUAAUACAUGCAAGUCGAGCGGACAGAUGGGAGCUUGCUCCCUGAUGUUAGCGGCGGACGGGUGAGUAACACGUGGGUAACCU